CCAACGGUGAAGCUACAUCACCGUUCCCCUCGGCGAAGAGGACAGCAGCCCAAGCUCCUGAACAGCCCGGAAGACAGUCUUUAUUACAACCAUCUCAACAGAAGUCUGGAUUAUCAGGGGAGCAAGAGGAAACCCAGAAAACUGGGGCAGAUCAAGCUUCUGGAUGGAGAGGAUGAAUAUUAUCAAUUACUGUCUGCAAUAGAGUCCGUCCCUGAGGAGGAGGUUUUAUCUGGCUCCUCCCCAAACCCUAAGACUGUCACGCCCACUGGCUCUCCCGCUAUCUCAUCCAGAUGAGCUGUGCUCUGCCCACCGCUUUGACGUGUGCUGACAGUUGAUUGCCUUCUCCAGCCUUUUGCUGCAAAAUGUGCUGUAUAUAUAAAAUAAUGAGGGGUAAUUAUUUAU